rnacentral:rRNA from 1 species
CUGUAGGGCAAACCAGAGGCAGAAAAUAGUAGGUCAUGCAGAUGCGAGUGUCCAGCUCUGAUCAGGCUGCUGCGAGCAUCCGACAACAGUUGGUACAUCACAGAGCACCGGGAAAAUCACAAUCAUUCAAUGUCGGUCACCAUGGGUGAGAAAGUGCACUGGUCAUCCCAUAAACACAUAGAUGUGUAUACAAAGGAUUUGAUUAGGCAGCUAAGGAAAAACAAUGUCAACCUGGGAAAAGUCUACGACAUAAUUGGAAGUUUUUUCGGGUCUGUAGUGAAGGUGCCAUUCACAAAGAGGACUCUCAGGAAUAUAUGUGGGAAGAUUAGCUGCGAACAAGUUGAUGAUGAUGUCCGGAAGACGCUUGAGCACUACAAGAAAUAUGUCAACUAG